rnacentral:rRNA from 1 species
UACCGGGUGGUGCAGCGUUAAUCGGAAUUACUGGGCGUAAAGCGCACGCAGGCGGUUUGUUAAGCAAGAUGUGAAAGCCCCGGGCUCAACCUGGGAACUGCAUUUUGAACUGGCAGACUAGAGUCUUGGAGAGGGGGGUGGAAUUCCAGGUGUAGCGGUGAAAUGCGUAGAGAUCUGGAGGAACAUCAGUGGCGAAGGCGGCCCCCUGGCCAAAGACUGACGCUCAUGUGCGAAAGUGUGGGUAGCGAACAGGAUUAGACUACCCGUG